rnacentral:rRNA from 1 species
UACGGGAGCAGCAGUGGGGAAUAUUGCACAAUGGGCGCAAGCCUGAUGCAGCCAUGCCGCGUGUAUGAAGAAGGCCUUCGGGUUGUAAAGUACUUUCAGUCGUGAGGAAGGUGUUAAGGUUAAUAACCUUAGCAAUUGACGUUAGCGACAGAAGAAGCACCGGCUAACUCCGUGCCAGCAGCCGCGGUAAUACGGAGGGUGCGAGCGUUAAUCGGAAUUACUGGGCGUAAAGGGCACGCAGGCGGUUAAUUAAGUUGGAUGUGAAAUCCCCGGGCUUAACCUGGGAAUGGCAUUCAAGACUGGUUAGCUAGAGUCUUGUAGAGGGGGUAGAAUUCCAUGUGUAGCGGUGAAAUGCGUAGAGAUGUGGAGGAAAUACCGGUGGCGAAGGCGGCCCCCUGGACAAAGACUGACGCUCAUGUGCGAAAGCGUGGGGAGCAAACAGGGAUUAGAUACC